rnacentral:rRNA from 1 species
GACGAACGCUGGCGGCGUGCCUAACACAUGCAAGUGGAGCGACGAACCAGGGCUUGCCCUGGGGCCAAGCCGCGAACGGGUGAGUAACACGUGGGUAACCUGCCCCGAUGACCGGGACAACCCGAGGAAACUCGGGCUAAUACCGGAUGUGGUGGACACACUUAAGUGUGUCCACUAAAGGAAGCUUCGGCCUCCGCAUUGGGAUGGGCCCGCGGCCCAUUAGCUAGUUGGUGGGGUAAAGCCUACCAAGGCAACGAUGGGUAGCUGGUCUGAGAGGACGAUCAGCCACACUGGGACUGAGACACGGCCCAGACUCCUACGGGAGGCAGCAGUGGGGAAUCUUGCGCAAUGCGCGAAAGCGUGACGCAGCAACGCCGCGUGAGGGAAGACGGCCU